rnacentral:rRNA from 1 species
AUUGAACGCUGGCGGCAGGCCUAACACAUGCAAGUCGAGCGAGCGGCGGACGGGUGAGUAAUGUAUGGGGACUGCCCGAUAGAGGGGGAUAACUACUGGAAACGGUGGCUAAUACCGCAUACUAUCGGAUAACCCAUAUGGGAUUAGCUAGGAGGUGGGGUAAAGGCUAACCUAGGCGACGAUCUCUAGCUGGUCUGAGAGGAUGAUCAGCCACACUGGGACUGAGACACGGCCCAGACUCCUACGGAGGCAGCAGUGGGGACUAUUGCACAAUGGGCGCAAGCCUGAUGCAGCCAUGCCGCUUGUAUGAAGAAGGCCUUAGUGUUGUAAACUCCUUUCAGCUGGGAGGCCUUCCCCUCCUCUGAAGCACCGGCUAACUCCGUGCCAGCAGCCGCGGUAAUAC